rnacentral:rRNA from 1 species
UAAGACGAGCCAAGCGAACGUUAUUCGGAAUUACUGGGCUUAAAGCGCGUGUAGGCGGAUGGCCACGUCGGUUGUUGAAAUCCCCCGGCUUAACCGGGGAACAGGCACCGAUACGAGUUAUCUGGAGGUGGGUAGGGGAGACUGGAACUUCCGGUGGAGCGGUGAAAUGCGUUGAGAUCGGAAGGAACGCCUGCGGCGAAAGCGAGUCUCUGGCCCCAUACUGACGCUGAGACGCGAAAGCCAGGGGAGCAAACGGGAUUAGAUACCCCGGUAGUCCUGGCUGUAAACAUUGGGCACUGGGUAGUAGAACCGCCGAUGGUUUUACUGCCGCAGGGAAACCGUGAAGUGCCCCGCCUGGGGAGUAUGGUCGCAAGGCUGAAACUCAAAGGAAUUGACGGGGGCUCACACAAGCAGUGGAGUAUGUGGCUUAAUUCGAGGCUACGCGAAGAACCUCACCUAGGCUUGACAUGUAAGGAUUAGUCGGCGGAAACGUCGAUGACGCCGCAAGGUGGAACUUACACAGGUGCUGC